GGGUGCAAAAGAGGGUAUAUUUAAUUGGGUGCAAGAGCUCUGAGAGUCGGUGCCUAAUAAGAUUCUUAAUGUAAGUUAAACAACUUAAGUUAUUUAGAAACCCAAUGCAAGUAGAACUUGUAUUAUGAGAUUGAAUAGGAUUCAAUCCUCAUGUCUAUUCAAAGGGACCUCCCCUAAGACCCCUAGAGCAUCCAACUAGCAGCCC
rnacentral:lncRNA from 1 species